CCUACGGGGGGCAGCAGUGGGGGAUAUUGGACAAUGGGGGAAACCCUGAUCCAGCGACGCCGCGUGAGUGAAGAAGUAUUUCGGUAUGUAAAGCUCUAUCAGCAGGGAAGAAAGAAAUGACGGUACCUGAGUAAGAAGCCCCGGCUAACUACGUGCCAGCAGCCGCGGUAAUACGUAGGGGGCAAGCGUUAUCCGGAAUUACUGGGUGUAAAGGGAGCGUAGACGGUAAUGCAAGUCUGGAGUGAAAGGCGGGGGCCCAACCCCCGGACUGCUCUGGAAACUGUGUAACUGGAGUGCAGGAGAGG
rnacentral:rRNA from 1 species